UACGUAGGGGGCAAGCGUUGUCCGGAAUCAUUGGGCGUAAAGAGCGUGUAGGCGGCCCGGUAAGUCCGCUGUGAAAGUCCAGGGCUCAACCCUGGGAUGCCGGUGGAUACUGUCGGGCUCGAGUCCGGAAGAGGAGUGUGGAAUUCCUGGUGUAGCGGUGAAAUGCGCAGAUAUCAGGAGGAACACCAAUGGCGAAGGCAGCACUCUGGGACGUGACUGACGCUGAGGUGCGAAAGCGUGGGGAGCGAACAGG
rnacentral:rRNA from 1 species